UUGAACGCUGGCGGCAGGCCUAACCCAUGCAAGUCGCACGGUAACAGGAAGCAGCUUGCUGCUUCGCUGACGAGUGGCGGACGGGUGAGUAAUGUCUGGGAAGCUGCCUGAUGGAGGGGGAUAACUACUGGAAACGGUAGCUAAUACCGCAUAAUGUCGCAAGACCAAAGAGGGGGACCUUCGGGCCUCUUGCCAUCGGAUGUGCCCAGAUGGGAUUAGCUUGUUGGUGGGGUAACGGCUCACCAAGGCGACGAUCCCUAGCUGGUCUGAGAGGAUGACCAGCCACACUGGGACUGAGACACGGUCCAGACUCCUACGGGAGGCAGCAGUGGGGAAUAUUGCACAAUGGGCGCAAGCCUGAUGCAGCCAUGCCGCGUGUAUGAAGAAGGCCUUCGGGUUGUAAAGUACUUUCAGCGGGGAGGAAGGGAGUAAAGUUAAUACCUUUGCUCAUUGACGUUACCCGCAGAAGAAGCACCGGCUAACUCCGUG
rnacentral:rRNA from 1 species